rnacentral:rRNA from 1 species
UACGGGGGGGGGCAAGCGUUGUUCGGAAUUACUGGGCGUAAAGCGUGCGUAGGCGGUGAGUUAAGUCUGUCGUGAAAUCCCCGGGCUCAACCUGGGAAUGGCGAUGGAUACUGGCUCGCUAGAGUGUGAUAGAGGAUGGUGGAAUUCCCGGUGUAGCGGUGAAAUGCGUAGAGAUCGGGAGGAACAUCAGUGGCGAAGGCGGCCAUCUGGAUCAACACUGACGCUGAGGCACGAAAGCGUGGGGAGCAAACAGG